UUGAUCUCCUGACCUCGUGAUCCACCCGCCUUGGCCUCCCAAAGUGCUGGGAUUACAGGCGUGAGCCACCGUGCCCAGCCCUGAAGAAUUAUAUUUUAUAAAUUGGUAGGUAGCUUCCACAAAAGGCAUGUAGAGAUUUGGAAGAAAACUGUUUAUACAAAGCUAAAACUCAAAUGUACAAACAUAGUAUUCCAUAAGCCAUUCAUUUGCAAUGCUCUGCACUUCUGAGGUUUGCUGUGCAAAAACUGUGCAAUAUUUUCCUGAUCUCUACUUAUUUCGUACUAUCCAGACCAACAACAGUGGUUCAGCAUGGUGAAUUCUCCAGAAAGAGGGAUCUACAACACUGAGUCUUGUCAAGCCUUCAGUAGGGGAGCAACACAGAUAAAGAAAUUGAGGCAGACAGAGGUUAGAGGAUUUGAACUGAUGUUGCCAGGACUUGAAACCAGACAGUGGCUUAUAUUAGAGUCUGUGUUCUCAGCUACCAUACUAUCUGCUGUUCUGCUGAUGACCUGCGGAAAGCUUCAUUCACUGGCAAAAGAGAAGUAAGCCCAGGGAGGUGUCUUUGCAACGUUGCUUAUCUCUGUAAUUGCAAUUGCCACUUUGUCCUAUAAAUUUCACAUUUCUGUGUUCCACUGGAGUAUGAUCUUCUUGAAGACAAGUACUUUACUUUAUUCAUCUUUGUUUACUGUUUGUAAAAUGAAUGAGUUUAUGUUAUUUGUGUUGUGGAGGGCAGGGCAGUAAAAGUCAGAGUUAUUUAGGAGAAGAUCUGAUCUUCUCCUAAUGAACCUGCAUGGCUAUCAUUAGACUCAAGGAGUUGUUUUUUAAGUAACUGGCACUGUCACCAAGUCUGAACUGGGCCACUGCUCUCUCAGUAAUAAGAUUGUAGAACAAAGACAUACUGUGUCUUUCAUGACUCAAACAUCAGUUUUGAGAAAACCCUCAAAGCAUCGAUUUUUAGCAAAACAAGAAAUUUCAAAAAUCCAAUUGAAGUGUACCAAGUAUUUGGAUACGACCUGAGUAUAGGGGACAGAAGAUCUUGUUAAACCAAACCACAGACAUACAGUUGGCAAUAUCCAGAAUAUGAGAAAAUCUACAGGACGAAUGACUAGGAGUCUUCAAUAAGUAAAAAUGAUGAAAAAAUAAAACAAGAGGGAGAAUCUACAGAUUUUUUAAUGAGGGUUAAAUAACAAAUCUGCUUAAUGCCCUGUGUGAAUACAGACUUUAACAAAUUAAAAAAAAGCAAACAGGCCAGGUAUGGUGGCUCAUGUCUGUAAUCCCAGCACUUUGGGAUCGCUUGAGCUCAGGAGUUUGAGACCAGCCAAGGUAACAUGGCGAGACCCCGUCUGUACUAAAAAUACAAAAAAACAGCCAGGCAUGGAGUGCAUGCCUGUGGUCCCAGCUACACUGGAGCCUGAGGUAGGAGGAUCACUUGAGUGUGGAGGGCAGAGUUGCAGUGAGUGGAGAUUGCACCACUGCACUCUAGCCUGA
rnacentral:lncRNA from 10 species